rnacentral:piRNA from 1 species
AUACUCACUGGAAGCCUCAUGCACUG